rnacentral:rRNA from 1 species
UAAGGCGUAGGGGGCAAGCGUUUGGUUCGGAUUUAUUGGGCGUAAAAGAGCGUGUAGGCGGUUAGGUAGGUCCGUUGUGGAAAACUCGAGGCUCAACCUCGAGACGCCGAUGGAAACCAUCUGACUAGAGUCCGGAAGAGGGAGAGUGGAAUUCCUGGUGUAGCGGUGAAAUGCGCAGAUAUCAGGAGGAACACCGAUGGCGAAGGCAGGUCUCCUGGGCUGACACUG